rnacentral:rRNA from 1 species
GGAAAGUUGAAAGAACUCUGAAGAGAGAGUUCAAUAGUACGUGAAACCAUAAUGAGUAAAACGGAUAACUGUACUAUUUUAGUGUUUUGCUUUUCAACAGUUAGUAGCGAUAUUCGACAGUGCGAGAAUUAGCUGUUUUUCAGCGAAAUUCACGUAGGUAGAAUGCCGUCAUAAGCUGUGAUUUAGUGCAAUUCCUAUCAUUAAAAAGCUUUAUGAUCCGGGCAGAGGUGUGUUGCAGUUCGCACUAUGUGCGAAGUAACAUGCUGUGCUAUGUGGUUGUUGAGUUUGGCUGAGAUUACUUUAGUCCGAGGUGCUUAAAGCUUUUGCGACAUGUGUGUCUAGCAGACUUGUUUAUUCUGGUUUGUGGCGAUCAUGUGGUAAUUGUUUGCGCUUCAUGUUUAAUGAUCAAGUACUAGUUAUUCGACCCGUCUUGAAACACGGACCAAGGAGUUCAAAUGGCACGCGAGUCAUUGGGUGUAAACAUCCAAAGGCGAAGUGAAAUGCGAGCGUAUUGUUAUUUGUGGUAUCCACGAAAAAAUGAUAAGCUACUGAUGCUAUCAGGCAUUUGUAGACUACAAGCGUGUCGUUUGAGACCCGAAAGAUGGUGAUCUAUGCCUAGUCAAGAUGAAGCCAGAGGAAACUCUGGUGGAUGUCUGAAGUUUUUCUGACGUGCAA